GUGUUCACUUCAUCAGCAUAUUUACUACAAUUGCAAUGAUACAGAGAAGAUUAGCAUGGCCCCUGCACAAGGAUGACAUGAAUUUUUUUUUAAUUUU
rnacentral:snRNA from 1 species